rnacentral:rRNA from 1 species
GACGAACGCUGGCGGCGUGCUUAACACAUGCAAGUCGAGCGAUGAAGCUCCUUCGGGAGCGGAUUAGCGGCGGACGGGUGAGUAACACGUGGGUAACCUGCCUCAUAGAGGGGAAUAGCCUUCCGAAAGGAAGAUUAAUACCGCAUAAGAUUGUAGUUCCGCAUGGAAUAGCAAUUAAAGGAGUAAUCCGCUAUGAGAUGGACCCGCGUCGCAUUAGCUAGUUGGUAAGGUAACGGCUCACCAAGGCGACGAUGCGUAGCCGACCUGAGAGGGUGAUCGGCCACAUUGGGACUGAGACACGGCCCAGACUCCUACGGGAGGCAGCAGUGGGGAAUAUUGCACAAUGGGGGAAACCCUGAUGCAGCAACGCCGCGUGAGUGAUGACGGUCUUCGGAUUGUAAAACUCUGUCUUCAGGGACGAUAAUGACGGUACCUGAGGAGGAAGCCACGGCUAACUACGUGCCAGCAGCCGCCGUAAAAC